CAGCAGCCACGGUAAUACGAAGGGGGCUAGCGUUGCUCGGAAUGACUGGGCGUAAAGGGCGCGUAGGCGGAUUGUUUAGUUAGGCGUGAAAUUCCUGGGCUUAACCUGGGGACUGCGCUUAAUACAGGCAGUCUAGAGUGAGGAAGAGGGUUGUGGAAUUCCCAGUGUAGAGGUGAAAUUCGUAGAUAUUGGGAAGAACACCGGUGGCGAAGGCGGCAGCCUGGUCCUUGACUGACGCUGAGGCGCGAAAGCGUGGGGAGCAAACAGGAUUAGAGACCCGCGUAGUCCCUGUCUCUUAUAC
rnacentral:rRNA from 1 species